AAGAAGCAGCCUGGGCCAUCACCAAUG
rnacentral:piRNA from 1 species